rnacentral:rRNA from 1 species
AUUGAACGCUGGCGGCAGGCCUAACACAUGCAAGUCGAACGAGUGGCGGACGGGUGAGUAAUGUCUGGGAAACUGCCUGAUGGAGGGGGAUAACUACUGGAAAAGGUAGCUAAUACCGCAUAGUAUCGUAGGUCCACAGAUGGGAUUAGCUUGUAGGUGGGGUAAUGGCUCACCUAGGCGACGCUCCCUAGCUGGUCUGAGAGGAUGACCAGCCACACUGGAACGGAGACACGGUCCAGACUCCUACGGGAGGCAGCAGUGGGGAAUAUUGCACAAUGGGCGCAAGCCUGAUGCAGCCAUGCCGCGUGUAUGAAGAAGGCCUUCGGGUUGUAAAGUACUUUCAGCGGGGAGGCGUUACCCGCAGAAGAAGCACCGGCUAACUCCGUGCCAGCAGCCGCGGUAAUAC